UCACUUCAGCAGUACAUAUACUAAAAUUGAAAUGAUACGGAGACGAUUAGCAUGGUCCCUACAUAUAAAUAAUACAAAUACAUUAAGUUUUC
ensembl:snRNA U6 U6 spliceosomal RNA